GGCUGUGAGGGCGAUCUGGCUGCGACAUCUGUCACCCCACUGCUCGCCCGGGUUGAUUCGGCUGAUCUGGCUGGCUAGGCGGGUGUCCCCUUCCUCCCUCACCGCUCCAUGUGCGUCCCUCCCGAAGCUGCGCACUCGGUCGAAGAAGACGGCCUUCCCCGAAUAGAGACGGACCGGUCUUCGGUCGAGGGUGUACGAGUAGCUGCGCUCCCUGCUAGGACCUCCAAACAAGCGCUCAAGGUUGAAACCAAAGUGAAAAGAAACGCUGAGCAGAUAAAAUAACCCAAAAUACUGAAUAGACUUUUGUAAUCCAAGAAAAAUGUCUCAAGAG
ensembl:misc_RNA 7SK 7SK RNA